rnacentral:rRNA from 1 species
CUUUAGUUUGCCCCCCCGAAACUAAGUGAGCUACUUCAAAACAGCCUUAUGGGCCAACCCGUCUCUGUUGCAAAAGAGUGGGAAGAUUUUCAAGUAGAAGUGAAAUACCUAUCGAACUUAGAGAUAGCUGGUUACUCAGGAAAAGAAUUUAAGUUCACCCUUAAGUUUUUACAAUACCGCAAAAGGUUUACAAAUAAAAUCUAAACUUAAGAGCUAUUCAAAUAAGGUACAGCUUAUUUGAAAUAGGAUACAACCUAACCUACAGGGUAAAGUUCUAUUCCUCUCCAAAAAAGUGGGCCUAAAAGCAGCCACCUAUGAAAAAGCGUUAAAGCUUAAUUGUUAGAACACUUUAAUUCAUUAAUCUAUUCUUAACCCUUUAUCAAUACUGAGUGAUUUUAUACUCUUAUAAAAGUCAUUAUGCUAGAACUAGUAACAAGAAACGGACUUUCUCCAUAAUGUAAGCUUAAGCCGNNNNGGACUUCCCCCCGGCAAUUAACGUAAAUGAAUACUCUGUAACAACCUCAAACCAGAAAACCUUACAAACCUUAACGUUAACCUUACACAAGUACAUUUCCGGAAAGAUUAAAAGAAAAAGAAGGAACUCGGCAAANNUGACCCCGCCUGUUUACCAAAAACAUCGCCUCUUGACUUGAUAUAAGAGGUCCCGCCUGCCCAGUGACAGGAUUCAACGGCCGCGGUACUCUAACCGUGCGAAGGUAGCACAAUAACUUGUUCUUUAAAUAAGGACUAGAAUCAAUGGCUUCACGAGGGUUAUACUGUCUCCUUUUUCUAAUCAGUGAAACUGAUCUCCCCGUGAAGAAGCGGGAAUACUACUAUAAGACGAGAAGACCCCAUGGAGCUUAAAACUAAAUAGGUACCCUCUACAAAUUACAUGGUAAUCUUGGCUUUUAUCUAUUAGUUUUGGGUUGGGGUGACCGCGGAGAACAGCCUAACCUCCGCAAUGAAAAGAAUAAUAUCCUAAUCUAAGAGGGACACCUCUAAGAAUUAAUAAAUUAACAUAUGAUGAUCCAAUACUUAUAUUUGAUCAAUGAACCAAGUUACCCUGGGGAUAACAGCGCAAUCCACUUCAAGAGUCCCUAUCGACAAGUGGGUUUACGACCUCGAUGUUGGAUCAGGGUAUCCCGGUGGUGCAGCCG